AGAUUUACAGAAUCAAUCAAUGGGUGUAGGACAACAUUUCAGAUGAGAUCACUUGAGUUGUCAUGGUGUGAUCUGGCAACACACUCUUACAGUGAAGUUCAACCCAAGUUGGAGAGAGAAAUCAUCUUCUGACUGGGCAGAGUGCUGGUAUCUGGAAUGACCAUCAAAUUCUCUGAUGCUCUUCCUGUGUCUAUCAGAAUGGGGCACUUCUGCCGUCUCCAAUCUGUGACCUGGCUCAGUUUGACUCUCUCCAUUGGUAUUAUUCCCUGUUCCCACUGAGCUGCAUGGUUUCCUGUUCCCACAGUAACUGAAACACUCUCACACAAAAAGCCAGCAGUGCAUUCCAUGCACCCACCACUCUUUUUUUAAAAAAAUAGUUACUCCUGACAUCCCCUCGGUAUCAAUUUUCAAGCACUUUAAAACUCUGCUCUCUUGUGUUAGCCAUUUCAGCCCUGGGAAAAUAACCUCUGGCUAUGCACACGAUCAAUGCCCCUCAUCAUCUUAUACACCUAAAAAAGCUCUUAACCAAAAAAAAGGAUAUUUUACACAUUAUACGUGAUCGAGUUCAUCUGCACUCUCACACAACCUAUGUAGCAGGCCUGUAACGGGUAAUGAAGGAUUUUCUCACCAGAGCUUUUGUACAUUGUCCAUAUGUGGUUUGCUUGCUAAACUAUGCUUUAAAAAGUCAGAUUUGCAAACAUCACUCCACUUCUUCCCACUUGCAAAUUCUCCAGCAACUUUUGCAUCGCCACAAUACACCAGUUUCUAUAUUGGACAUAAAUAUUUCCCCUGAACCCUCCUGAGGAAUUGAGGAUAUAUAAACAAAAUCAUUUUGAACCUAUGAAACCUCUGGCCAGAAGAAUAAUUGGGACUGAAUAGGAAUUUUGAACUGAUGUGAACUCAGUUUUCAGCAUUUAGCUAAGACAGGCUCAUUACCAGUUCUCUGAGGCUUGCAGAGAGACACACUGAGAGCUGAUAACAUUAUACAUUGUACUCAUGUUUGAGUAAGUGGAGGAAGACUCCCUGAUAAGGACAGGAAUGAACUUGUUUGUUAUUAAAUCAGGGCCUUGCAAAGGGAAUAACUGACAAGGACGAGACUGUACAUCCAUCUGUAAUUAAAACCUUGAUUUAGUAAACUCUCAAUUCUAAGUAAUUAAGUUUUGCACCAGUUCGAACAACAUAUUGCAAUAGUAAUGUAUGGGCUUACUAUGUACUAUGUACAGGCUGUAACCUAAGUCAGUCCAUUUGUAAACAGUGGCAGUGCUUACGUGCCUACCCUUUGACAACUGGGUCUCAAUCUCCUGCAGAAGAAUGCACAACAAACUGUGGUGAUGAUAAGAAACUGGACUCCCGAGUUUUAAUUGGACUCAACUUUUAACAUUUGUCAUCACGAACAGGAUCCCAAUACAGGGAGUGCCAAGCAGACGGGCUGAGUAAGCGGCUGGACCACUCUGGGGACUGCAGAGACUGACCAGGUGCCCAAUAGGAAACUGGCAUGGAGUCAAUGGAAAUAAGGCAAACAAGUAUUGAGGUCAUGGAACCUAUACAGAUAGAAGAGGAGGAGGUGCUUGCUAUCUUGAGGUGCGUAAUGUCUAAAGGACCAGUGUUUGAGUAAGCGAGACUCACCAAACUUUCUCCUGAUUGAAUCACUGGAAUCUCCGAGUCAGAUUGGUUUCUCUCCAAUCAGUGCUCUCAAUCCUUGGGCUGGUUCACUUGUUGCUGUUCCCUCAACUUCAGUCGUGGUUCUUCUGCCAAUAAAUCUCUCACCGCAGGACUAACUUUAACAUGAAAGAUAAUGAAGCACAUUAACAAUACAAAGAAGGACCAAACGUUUCUACUUAAUGUACAAGGAGCAACACUCACUGAAAUUUAAACGUUGAGGGCAAAUAUACUGAUCUCAGUUGUCCCUCACAUGUCACAGAACGAUAUGGGAUAAGGAGGAGGCAUCAUUCAGUCAUGGUAAGACAUACAACACAGGAACAGAAACAGGUGAUUCAAUCCAUCUGAUCUGCCCACCACUCAACCAUGGCUGAUUUUCAUUCCAACACCAUAUUCCUGUCUUCCUCCUGUAACCCUGAAUCUACUUAGCAAUCAUGAGUAUAUUAAUCUCUGUCAUAAAUAUUCCCAAAUGGCAGCCUCAAUCAGACUCUGUGGCAACAAAUUCCAUAGAUCAGACAUCUUUUGGCAAAAAAAAAAAUUCACAACUGAAUUUUAACAGGAAGCAUCUUUAUUCUGAGACAGUGCUGUCAGAUCACAGACUCUGUGUCUAAUGGAAACAUCCUCUCCAUGUCCACAGUAUCCAGGCUUUUCAGCAUUCGGUAGGUUUAUUAACCAUACAUCCCUCCACCGUCCCUCUGAACUCCAUUGAGCACAGGUUCAGACCUAUCAAAUGCUCCACCGAUCAUUCCUGAGAUUACUUAUGUAAACCUUGUUAGCAACAACUGUACUGAACACAUUUCCAGGAAUAACAGACAAAUUGGUACCAGGAUAAUUUAAAGGGAAACGUUGUGCUUUCUUUACAGUUUUACUAUCACAUGUGCUGGCGCGUGGCCAAGUGGUUAAUGCGUUGGUCUAGUGAUCUGAAGGUUGCUAGUUCCAGCCUUGGCAGAGGCUGCGUGUGUGUUCUUGAGCGACGACACCGGUGCCAAGCUGUAUGGGUCCUAAUGCCCUUCCCUUGGACAAUAUCACUGGCGGAGGGGAGACCUGCAGAGACUCUAACGGAGGCCUAUAAAGUAUCACAGCCAUUUUCAUUUCCAGGUUAAAACAGGUCCAUUUCAUGAAAUAUAAACAAGAAAUAAAAAGAAACUGGAAUUACCAGAAACACUCAGCAGGUAAGGAACAGCUUACAAUACAAUUCAAUUAAUAACAUUUCAUCAGAAUGACUUCAAACAUUUUCAGUUUUUAGUGCAGAUCUCCAGCACAGCUGCCUGAGUUCCACUGAGUAACAGUGAGGGGGGAUUUCCAAACUCAGGGUCUAUUUCUACUGUUGUAAACACAGAACAGCCCAUUUACUCACAGCCUCUCCCUGUGAGGAUGGAAUGGGAACUCAUCCUCUCCUCAGAUUGUCAGUCAUUGCUUCCAAAGGAACUCCAGAAACAAACAUCUGAUCCCAGACCAGAAAUACUCACUCAACACUUCCCAAUCCCAAACCGCUCGUUCCCCGGGUCCAUUUUACCUGGAUCGAAAACUAUGAUAUUCCAGGACCAAACUCACAGAGUCACACAGCUGAAUCUGCCACUCACCGACACUAAGAGUCUCACACAUUGUCCCCACAUCUCACACUGGGUAGUGCAAUCCGGGAUUUCCCCACAACCAAUGUCCAGCUGCUCAAAAUUUCUGCUUCAUUGCAGGACGAUCAUCCAGCCCCAUCUGCAGAAGCUCAAAACAAAGUCAAGCCAAAACACCAACAGUUCCAUUUGCCUGGAAAGCCGAUCACAGGAUUAGAGCCCAAGCACCAACUCUCCCAGUACUCUUUGCUGCCAGUAAAAUGCUGCACUGUGCCAGUCCAUCACUGAUCAUAAACUAGCACCUCCACACCAAUGCACAACAGAACUGGGACCUGAUGACCCUCCUGCAUUCCAGCUAACAAUAACCGAUACUGGAAAUGACUCAGCGAGGCCAAAGGUACAAAAGAACACUUCACAAUGAAGACAAGGGUUAGAAAAAGUUUGCUGAUAUAUAACAUUGAGGAGGUGGGAUACAAGGCGGACUGAGGAUGACCCAGAUGGUUAAUGUAUAUCACUGAAGCGGGGUUGCAGGGUGUGAGGAGACUGAACAGAGGUUGAACAAGAUGAACAGAUGGAACCAGGUGGGAGAAGGGAUCAAGGACAAUCACUGAUUGUCCUCCAGCAACACAUAGGUACUGAAUGAAUAGUACAUACUAUUGUACAAAAGAUUCUAAAAUGACAGAAUUGGCAAAAAUAACAAGAACUUUGCCAGAUAUACUUUGACCCUCACCAGAUUUUUAUCAACACACCAUAGAAAGUUUCCCAUCCAGACACUUCACGUUUUGCACAGUAACUGCUCCAUCUGUGACUGCGAGGAAAUGCAGAGACCUUUGGAUACAGAGCAGCACAUCACAGACACCAUCCUCCCCCCGAGACUUCCCAGUCCCUCGGUAAAGCAGGCAGUGAAAUCAAAGAUCCCCACAACCUGGGACGUUCUCCUUUAUCACCCACCCCAGUCUGGGAGAAGACCCAACAGCCAUAAAGCUCCAGGACAAAUGUGAGGAGCCUCAGGAAGCGAGGCGAUUUCAGGGAAGUUAAUGGGACUCAGUGGCCAACAUCAGAUUUCCCCAACACAACAUGGAGGAUGCGUGACCACCCACCUGGAGAUUGUGAACAUGCACAAAGAGAUCGUAACAUCUAUGGUUAAAUGGGAGGGGCAAAUGGGAUCACGUGACCAGUGGGGUCUAGCACCCCAGGCAUAGACUCCAGCUUCCCAGCAUUCUGUGAAAAUAAACAGACGCCCCUCACAUCUCCUCUCACCUUAAAUGUGUCAGACAUUUCUAACCCCCAGGAAAAAACAUACCCUCUGUCCACUCUAUCUAUUCCUCUCGUAAUCUUAUAAACGUCCAUCCAGUCUCACCGCAGCCUGCACCGCUUUGGAGAAAACAACACAAGUUUGUCCAGCCUCUCGUUAUAGCUCAUGCCCUCUAAUCCAGGGAGUAUCCUGGUAACCCUCUUCUGUGCCCUCUCCAAAGCCCCGACAUCCUUCCGAGAAUGGGGGUGACCAGAACUGUAUGAAACACUCCAGUUGUGGUCUAACAAGUUUUACAAAGCUGCAACACAACUUCCCGACUUUUGAACUCAAUGCUUCAUCUAAUAAAGACAACCAUGUCAUUUGCCUUCUUAACCGCCCGAUCAAUCUAUGCAGUCUCUUUCAGGGAGUGAUGAACUUGGAGUCUAAGAUCCCUCUGAUCAUCGACAUUGUUCGGGGUUUUGCAUUUAACAGUGAACUGUCUCAUUCAUUCAGGGGUGCAGUGCUACCAGAGCUCACCGGAGCGCCGCUCCGACACCUCUGGAAAAAAGUCAAAAUAAGCAAGUACGGAAUUUAACAACCCCGGAUAUUAAAUAGAGGGAAUUUUACGGAAGCGGGGGUUGGAAAAUGUUGGCUGGUGGGGAAAAAUACCACUGAUAACAUUAAGAUAUUUGAUCGUUUUUUGUGAAAUCCUGGAGCUGUGACUGCUUUUUAUUUAGGUAUUUGUGAAAUUCCUUCUCCCUCGACCCAUUGUCCUAGGAAGCUGGGAAAUAGCUGGACACGAGUCUGAGCAUUCUUCCGCUCUUUCCAAUGGGUACCAUUGGAUACCAUGAAGGAGCUAUAUUCAGCAAGGAAUGAACAUGGAAACCCAAGUUUAAAAGUUGAAAACAAUGAAAGAAAAAUUCACUGCUUGCUUAUCUUCGGUCUGACUUUGAUCAAAUACACAAGCUAAUCAUCCAAAAUCCUCUUCUACACCUGGAUAAAUUUAGUUUUGUUUUCCAAGCCAAAUGGGAAAAAAAAGACAUUUCUAGGCUUUAAGCUAGUUUUACAUCAUUUCAACUAUUAUAUCAUUAAUAGCAGAUCAACCCCUUGGCCUCGCUCCACCAACUGCAGCUGAUUGGAAAGAGGCUCUUUUUCUCAUUGUGAUGAAAGGAAGAAGAAUAAUUUAGUGAGAUCUGCAGCAUCUGCGGGUCACUGCUCUACGUGUACGUGUAGCUUCAUCUUACACCCGUUCAGACAAGGCAGUGAGAUCCGGAUCUGUCACGUCCUCUCGUUGUUUGUGGACAAUGUUUUUUUUCUCUGCAAUAUUUUCUGUUAUUUCAUUCCACUGUUUUGAGGUGCUGAAGGGCUGCUGAUCUUUCUGGGUGUCUGACCCGUUUAUGUGAAAAUUUGGCCAUUUGUAUUUAUCUGAGCUUCUCACAAAUGUGUAAAGUUUAGUUCAGCUUCAUUUCAGAAUUUCUAAAGCAACACCCAGUCAGUCAAAUUGCUCCACACAAUUAAGAUAGCUUAUUACAUUUUUUUUCUAUUUUUGUACUAUAUAUAUGUAUAUUCUUAUUUUAAAUCACAAUUGUUAAAAACUAUUGUUAUGAAUUAGUUUCUACUACUACCACAGCGACAACAAAUUUCAUGUCAUAUGCCGGUGCUAUUAAACCUGAUUCUGAUAUUGAUAUGGGAGACCCACCACCGGUCACCUGUUCCCAGUUACUGCAGAUCGUAAUGUGAGAUUGAAGCAUUUUCCAUAUAUUUGCUUUCCACAGAAAUGACAACAGUUCAGUUUCCUUCUGAGGUUCUAGAGCAGAAGCUCAGUCUGUCUAAUAUUUCCACCCAAUUAAAAUGGGAAAUUUGUUUAUUAUCAUCAUGUACUGAGCUACAGUGAAAAUCUUGCCUGAUGUACCAUCCACACAGAUGGAUACAUUCCAACAGUACAUUGAGCUGACAUACAACAAAAUAAUCACUGCAGCAAAGCAUUGUGGCUGCAGAGAAAAUGCAGUGCAGAUAGACAUAUGGUGCAGGGUCACGUCGAGUUACAUUUUGAGGUUGAGUCCAUUUUAUCAUUCAUUUGACUUAUAGCUGCAGACGGGAAGCGGUCCUUCAGCCUGGUGUUACGCACUUUAAGGCUUUUGUAUCUCUCCCCCGAUGGGAGAGCGGGUUUUGCAGCAAGAAUGUCCAGGUUGUGAGGAUCUUUGAGUAAAUGGCCUGCUUUUCCGAGGGAGGGGAAGUGUAGGAAGAGUCCAUGGAGUGACGGCUUGUUUCUCUGAUGUUCUCUGCAGUUCCUUGCAGUCAAGGGCAGAGCAGUAGCCAUACAAAGGCGUGAAGUAUC